rnacentral:rRNA from 1 species
GGAAUAUUGGACAAUGGGCGAAAGCCUGAUCCAGCCAUGCCGCGUGUGUGAAGAAGGUCUUCGGAUUGUAAAGCACUUUAAGUUGGGAGGAAGGGCAGUAAAUUAAUACUUUGCUGUUUUGACGUUACCGACAGAAUAAGCACCGGCUAACUCUGUGCCAGCAGCCGCGGUAAUACAGAGGGUGCAAGCGUUAAUCGGAAUUACUGGGCGUAAAGCGCGCGUAGGUGGUUUGUUAAGUUGAAUGUGAAAUCCCCGGGCUCAACCUGGGAACUGCAUCCAAAACUGGCAAGCUAGAGUAGGGCAGAGGGUGGUGGAAUUUCCUGUGUAGCGGUGAAAUGCGUAGAUAUAGGAAGGAACACCAGUGGCGAAGGCGACCACCUGGGCUCAUACUGACACUGAGGUGCGAAAGCGUGGGGAGCAAACAGGAUUAGAUACCCGAG